rnacentral:rRNA from 1 species
UGGCGGCAGGCCUAACACAUGCAAGUCGAGCGGAAACGACACUANCAANUCUUCGGNNGCNUUAAUGGGCGUCGAGCGGCGGACGGGUGAGUAAUGCCUAGGAAAUUGCCUUGAUGUGGGGGAUAACCAUUGGAAACGAUGGCUAAUACCGCAUAAUGCCUACGGGCCAAAGAGGGGGAUCUUCGGACCUCUCGCGUCAAGAUAUGCCUAGGUGGGAUUAGCUAGUUGGUGAGGUAAUGGCUCACCAAGGCGACGAUCCCUAGCUGGUCUGAGAGGAUGAUCAGCCACACUGGAACUGAGACACGGUCCAGACUCCUACGGGAGGCAGCAGUGGGGAAUAUUGCACAAUGGGCGAAAGCCUGAUGCAGCCAUGCCGCGUGUAUGAAGAAGGCCUUCGGGUUGUAAAGUACUUUCAGUUGUGAGGAAGGGGGUGUAGUUAAUAGCUGCAUAUCUUGACGUUAGCAACAGAAGAAGCACCGGCUAACUCCGUGCCAGCAGCCCGCGGUAAUACGGAGGGUGCGAGCCGUUAAUCGGAAUUACUGGGCGUAAAGCGCAUGCAGGUGGUUCAUUAAGUCAGAUGUGAAAGCCCGGGGCUCAACCUCGGAACUGCAUUUGAAACUGGUGAACUAGANUGCUGUAGAAGGGGGGUAGAAUUU